rnacentral:rRNA from 1 species
UGGGGAAUUUUGGACAAUGGGGGCAACCCUGAUCCAGCAAUGCCGCGUGUGUGAAGAAGGCCUUCGGGUUGUAAAGCACUUUUGUCCGGAAAGAAAACGUCGUGGUUAAUACCCGUGGCGGCUGACGGUACCGGAAGAAUAAGCACCGGCUAACUACGUGCCAGCAGCCGCGGUAAUACGUAGGGUGCAAGCGUUAAUCGGAAUUACUGGGCGUAAAGCGUGCGCAGGCGGUCCGCUAAGACAGAUGUGAAAUCCCCGGGCUUAACCUGGGAACUGCAUUUGUGACUGGCGGGCUAGAGUAUGGCAGAGGGGGUAGAAUUCCACGUGUAGCAGUGAAUGCGUAGAGAUGUGGAGGAAUACCGAUGGCGAAGGCAGCCCCCUGGGCCAAUACUGACGCUCAUGCACGAAAGCGUGGGGGAGCAAACAGGAUUAGAUACCCUGGUAGUCCACGCCCUAAACGAUGUCAACUAGUUGUCGGGUCUUCAUUGACUUGGUACGUAGCUAACGCGUGAGUUGACCGCCUGGGGAGU